CGGUUGCCAGGACGACGCCUGCGAAGAUGGCCGCUGCGUCCUCAUCGGAUUCCGACGCCUGCGGAGCUGAGAGGUGAAGGCAGGGCUCCUCAAGGCCUCUUUUCCCACCCGUGUAAAGAGGGUCCCUUGGUCCCCGGGCUCUGGGCUCCUGCUGUUCUCGGGCAGUCUGGAAGGACUCUUAAGAGGUCAGAUAGGGAAACCGAGGCCUAAGAUGUGCAUAUGUGUGUCUGGAGGUCGCUCGGUGAGCCAGUGGCGGAGCCUGGACUUGUACCCAGACGUUCUGUACCUUAUGUUCAGAGUGACCUGUACCAGCUUCCUCAAAGUUUUUUUUUCCCCUCCCAUGGGACUCACUCCCCAACUGUCUUUCCCCCACUUCCAGCAAUGAGGCCAAUUCGAAGUGGUUGGAUGCGCACUACGACCCAAUGGCCAAUAUCCACACCUUUUCUGCCUGCCUAGCGCUGGCAGAUUUACAUGGGGAUGGGGAAUACAAGCUGGUGGUAGGGGACCUUGGCCCUGGUGGGCAGCAGCCCCGCCUGAAGGUGCUCAAAGGACCACUGGUGAUGACCGAAAGCCCGCUACCUGCU
rnacentral:lncRNA from 10 species